rnacentral:rRNA from 1 species
GAGCUCAGUAGGUCGGGUACGCCUCUCCCACGCACGCCCCUAUGUCUCUCUCCUACGCACACCAAAGACACCUAGGUCCGCUCCGCCGCUCCCUAAGUCCGCUAGUCGCCCUACUCCCAGGUCGGCUCCGCGUACUGCCCUAGGUCUGCCUCGCUCCGCGGGCUCCCCUAGCUCGCCUGCGCGCCCUCGCCUACUUAGGCCCCGCCAGCUAGGUCGGGUGCGCCCGUUAGGCGGAUGCUCGAGAACGACUAACUACGUCGAGACGAGGGCGGCUACGUCCGAGGCGUCUGACGUCGGCUAGACUAACGGCGGAACUCGCCGUUUCGGGUGGCGUUGAACGGUCGAGAGGGCCGCCGCCACCAUAUAUUGGUCGGAUUCUACAUGCUGCACGAAUACGGGAGAAAGGUACGCUAAGCAAGGGGGUUGUCCGUAUAGUUGAGGUCUUCUACACGUGUUGCUUCAAUUCGGCCCAUACGUUCUUCCUUCUACAAAGUAGUACAACUGGUGAUAUCUAAACUUCAGGUCAAGACCUCGUGAACUUGUACGCUCCAACCGUUGAGGGACUAACGCAAGCAAGACGGUGUUUUAAUACCAGAGCUUGUUAAAACUCAAAGAGGAACGGAUGAAAAACUCUGUAACUGGAAAUAACUUCCAUGGUACGAGAAAAGUCCUAGAAACCUAGAACCUCUGUAUAUGUCCAGUAUAACUGAUGCAUAAAGGAAUGUUAAUGUUUACAUGGUAUGAACAACAUUCUACUUGAAGACCUGUUAUACCGUGUAUAUACUUAAUACUUCCAAAAAAACUUUCUAUACCGUUAUUUAUUACUAACGGAUUGAACAACAGGUGUAUUAAAUACAGUGAAGUAUGGAUUGGUCUGGUAAAUAAAGAUUCUAUUCUUUAGACACUGAUUAGGUUGGUGAUGUCUAAAGAAUAACAGCUCCAACCAGGACCUGGUUAAGUAAUGAGGCACUCGUUAAGUAAUGUGGUAAAUAACGUACGAAUUUUAAAGUUACUCUCCGAUUUAUUCAGCACAUAGUUUAUGAAGACAAAAGUCUAUAACAUCUUGUGAAGAAUACAUGUCAGACAAAAUUGUUCAGGCAGGUCGAGAUCGGAACAUUUUCAUCCGGUUUUAGUAUAAAGAUUCUGAAGAUUCCCUACCGUAAAAUCAAGUACAAAGUAUACGAAAAUCUAUUAAAAGUUGACGCACGUAAUACAUAAUUCACCAUGACGUAUUUGACCAAGUACAACAUAGACUUUCUCAAGACAUAUUCGGAUUAUUGAAAACGACAAACCAAAAGAUCCACGAAAGCAAUAUACGUGUGAAGGAAAGUACCAGGUUAGAACCUAUAAUGAACUCAUAGAAUCACAGUACACCUUCUUACAGGUUGAAUCCCCGUCGGUACACCUUCCUACAGGUUGAAUCCGCGUCAGUCCACUUAUCACUUGUACGACUAACAGUUAAUAUGUUUAGUUGGGUUUGAGGUUAUUUGAUGAGGUAGGGUUUAAUGAACAGAAUCUAAACAGAUCUAUGUUUAGAUGCUGUACAUUAAACCCUGCCUCCAACAUAAAUUAAUCACUAUAUAUAAACGGUGUUAAAUAAAACCCUGAUAUCAAAACCUUGAAGGCUGGUAAGAUAGUAGUUUUAACUGCUUGCCUCGUUGCGCGCAGUAGUUGCUAGAUCAAAAUAACUUUUGACCAGCCUGAACUCACUUUAGGUUUACAGUUAAAACCUCUUUGCGGGCCCUGGGUAGGGUCGGGCCGCACCGGGUCGUUGGACUGAUCGGAGGUUGCGACGGGCAAGGCCGAGGGGUGAGAGGCCAAGGUCAAGGUAGGGGUAGUCGACGUGAGCUUUGCUGCCGUCUUGGGGAUUUAAGGGGUAGGGUCUACGGGUCGUGAGAGGCGGACAGGUUAGAGGUGUGUACUCCUUCUUCUUCCGCCGCCGCUGCCGCGGACAUGGGCGCCGACGGUUCUGCUCUCGCCACCGUCGCCGGCAUCGGCUCCGGUUCUUCUUCCGCUGCCGCCGUCUACAACGGUUCUUCUUCUUCUGCCACGGGCGUCGGUUCUUCUUCUUCCGCUGCCGCCGUGGACGUCGGUUCUUCGCGCGUAGGCCACCUUGCCUGCCCACGUCCGGUGCCUUUGCCCGUGCCCUACUGUUGACGCUGCCGCUAGAGUAGUCGUUGGAAGGCCUCCGGCAGGAGACGUGGUAGUAGAGGGAGGAGGGGUGGUUCCUGCCGCGAGCGUGCGUCCGGUAGCGGGCGGCUACCGCGGGGGAGACCGCGAGGCGCGGAGAGUUGUAGCUGCGGGUCUUAGAGUCCUGGCCGGCGUCAAACGGGGAAGCGACAUUUUUCUUCUUGGAGUCGUGGUUAUUAAAAGUCGGCAGCACGGCGACGGCUCCCGGAGCUGGUGGCUGCCUGAGGUAGCAAAGGUCCUAGGAGAGGCUGGUGGAACCGGGGCGAGCGACGAAGCUGAAGGCGAAUUGGACGUAGACGGGCUUUUUUCUUCCCGUGCGGGUCUUUUAACGAGUCUAACUCUCGACCAAGGUGAGAGCUUCGGGCGUGUUGGAAGUCCUCGAUGUAUAGAAGAAGGGCUAGAACACAGCUCGUCGAGCUAUGAGGAACGGUAGUAGGCACGAGGCGAAGCGUAGCUGACAGCAACACCGAUGUUAGCCGGUGACGCUACAGGGUUUUCUCUAGCGAGGAAAUGACUUAAAGGGGGAGGAGUUCGUAGAGUGGGAUGCCUCGCAAAGGUACAGUCUCCUACAGAAGGGAGCCCGCUAGAGGAGGACGGUACACAACCUCUGGGAUAUAGACGUCCCUUUACGAAUAUCACCAGGGAGGUGUAAUCGAGCGGUUGAGAAUCCUCGUAGCGGAAGUCAGUAACAAUACAACCGUUUGUUCUUAACCAAUAACUCCUGUGGGGAGCGGAAGUUUCCGACGAAACAGGUACGAGUCUAUCAAACUUAUAGGCCCAUUUAUUCCGUCGUGGAUUUGACCUCUAUAAACCGGGAAACAGUGGGGCGUGGAGGUUAUAAGUCUAACGUUUCGAUUAGAAAGUCCCCAACCAAGGUUGGUCGAACUUGUCAAGCUAUACGUGUCACUUCCAAAACCGAGAGGUCAAACGAACGUGACUAAACUUACGUCAAGAACUGCAGGAGUCCAAAAAGGGGACGAACCUUUAUGAAAUACAAUACACCUUGUUUAUGAACUUUCGUCUCUACUUGUUACACGCAGUAACACUAGGUUAUUGAGGUUAGUUUACGGAACUCUGGGUAGAUUUUUUUGAUCACAACUUCUUAAUGUGUCCGCUGCUCGUUCUACAAUCGAAACGGUUCAAGAAACAAGACUUACGCUUUCACGAUGUACUCUAGUUUAAACCGCAAUCACUCUUCAAGCUGUUCUUUACCCACCGACUAGUGGUGUCCAACGAUCCUCACCUUUCACUUCGAAGAGGUCUCAAGCUCAAAUUUGUAACAAGCAUGACAAACCUAGAGAUAAAUCUAGGGGUACUGAACAGUUAACGGCUAGGGAAGUUGUUGAGAAAAGAUCGACUUCUGGUAUGAGAAGGUCACUAUAGUUAUAGUACAGGAAGGUCAAGACUGCUCCUAUCAUUGACUUCUAGCACAACAGAAAACGAACAAAAAUACCACGACUAUGGACUUAUAAUACAACGGACGUCAAGUUACGAACAAAGAGACAAACAUCAAAUUAACAGGAAACAUUAAGGGUCGUACCAUACAAUACGUUGAUCAAGUGACAGUUUUCAACAUUGACACUCGACCAUGAUUUGAGUCGUGGUUUGAGGAGAAAAUGUACUGAAAACAGGCAGUUAUCAACAUGAGCGAGGCAGGCUUUUAUGAACAGUUGUUUUACUUGUUUUUUUCCACAUAGAUCUUGAUUUUAUGUAGAUCUAUGUAGGGAAAAAUAAAUAAAACUACUAUUCAUAAAGGCCUGCCUCCCUCAUUCAACAUUGACACUCGAUCACUUGAGUCCUAGUUUG